rnacentral:tRNA from 1 species
GUGCCUGUAGCUUAGUUGGUUAAAGCGUCGGGUUGUGGUUCCGAAGAUCGAGGGUUCGAGUCCCUUCAGGCACCCCA